ACGUAGGUGGCGAGCGUUAUCCGGAUUUAUUGGGUUUAAAGGGUGCGUAGGCGGCUUAAUAAGUCGGUGGUUAAAAGUAGCAGCUUAACUGUUUUACAUGCCAUCGAUACUGUUGAGCUUGAGAUAUUUGGAGGCAGCUAGAAUUUCCGGUGUAGCGGUGAAAUGCAUAGAUACCGGAAGGAAUACCAAUUGCGAAGGCAGGUUGCUACGAAUAAACUGACGCUGAUGCACGAAAGCGUGGGGAUCAAACAGGAUUAGAUACCCUGGUAGUCCACGCCGUAAACGAUGAUUACUAGUUGUUGGGGUUUAAGCCUCAGUGACCAAGGGAAACCGAUAAGUAAUCCACCUGGGGAGUACGCCGGCAACGGUG
rnacentral:rRNA from 1 species